rnacentral:rRNA from 1 species
AUUGAACGCUGGCGGCAGGCCUAACACAUGCAAGUCGAACGGUAACAGGAAGCAGCUUGCUGCUUUGCUGACGAGUGGCGGACGGGUGAGUAAUGUCUGGGAAACUGCCCGAUGGAGGGGGAUAACUACUGGAAACGGUAGCUAAUACCGCAUAACGUCGCAAGACCAAAGAGGGGGACCUUAGGGCCUCUUGCCAUCGGAUGUGCCCAGAUGGGAUUAGCUAGUAGGUGGGGUACGGCUCACCUAGGCGACGAUCCCUAGCUGGUCUGAGAGGAUGACCAGCCACACUGGAACUGAGACACGGUCCAGACUCCUACGGGAGGCAGCAGUGGGGAAUAUUGCACAAUGGGCGCAAGCCUGAUGCAGCCAUGCCGCGUGUAUGAAGAAGGCCUUCGGGUUGUAAAGUACUUUCAGCGGGGAGGAAGGGAGUAAAGUUAAUACCUUUGCUCAUUGACGUUACCCGCAGAAGAAGCACCGGCUAACUCCGUG